rnacentral:lncRNA from 1 species
GGGAAGAGGGGGGGUGGAGGAGGGAAGUGGGGAGGCUCCCCGGGAACGAGCACGGGACGGCGCCUCCGUGGGGAGCCCCAGCUGCCCCCCCCCUCCCCCCCGUCAUCCCGAGGGCACGAGUGGCAAGAGAAGACUCUGCCCCUCCCCCUAAGAGGGAGAGGGCUCUUCCUCCUCAGUGGCCUCUAGAGACACACCUGGAGCCAGCCCCGGGCGGAGUGAGGCUGCUCGGCCCGCUGGAGGUCACUGAAUCCGGGUUCAAGGGACCCCAGAAUAAUUUGCCCAUUAUCCAAGAAUUAGGCUAAAAAUGUUGUGCAGCUGAGGGAAACCUGCGCCCAGGACCCGCUCUGGAGGCCACCGGGGAGCGGGGCCGCAGACUUGGAAGGAAGAGGCUGAGACCGUGGGCACAGGAGCCCGUGGGCACAGGAGCCCAUGGGCACAGGAGCCUGGAGGAGAAGGUCGGAGGGUCCCAGCCCCCUGUAACUGAGGACUAGAGGGGGAAGGGGCUCUCCCGGGGCAGGAAGGGAGGAGGGAGGACGUGGCUCCGGGUCUUUGGACGCCAAAGCCAGGCCUUGUCCCGGCAGAUGGCCUCUGAAGGCCAAGGCUGGCCCGGGAGGGCCUCUUCUUCGCCUGGACUCUGUGCUCAGCCUCUCCCUCAGCUGACCAGCAGCCACAACCACAUGAGCCGGACUCUCCAGAACCAACCACCGGCCCUGCCAUUAUAGGCUCCCCACCGACCCCGCUCCGAGCCUGGCCACUGGGAGGACCAAGGAGGGGCAUUGGAACGGAUGGGCAGCUCCAGGAUGGUGGAGAUGUUGGGGGAACAGCUUCCAGGGCUGAGGAGGAAGAGCAGUAGCGGGGUCAGUGCUGGCACACAGACCCUGCAAAGGGAGCGACCCCGAGGCAAUGGUCCAGACUGGGGGGGGGACAACUAACAGGGGAGCAGGACCCGGUUCUCCAUCCCAGAAGUUGUGAGUCUCUCCUUCCUCAUCCCUGAAAUGUUCCCUGUUGCCAUGAGGAGGGGGAAUAAAGGAGUCAAGAUGGAGGAGCGGUGGUGGCCUGGGGCUGCUGAG